GACGAACGCUGGCGGCGUGCUUAACACAUGCAAGUCGAACGGUAAGGCCCUUCGGGGUACACGAGUGGCGAACGGGUGAGUAACACGUGGGUGAUCUGCCCUGCACUUCGGGAUAAGCCUGGGAAACUGGGUCUAAUACCGGAUAGGACUCCUGGCUUCAUGGGUGGGGGUGGAAAGCUUUUGCGGUGUGGGAUGGGCCCGCGGCCUAUCAGCUUGUUGGUGGGGUAAUGGCCUACCAAGGCGACGACGGGUAGACGGCCUGAGAGGGUGACCGGUCACACUGGGACUGAGAUACGGCCCAGACUCCUACGGGAGGCAGCAGUGGGGAAUAUUGCACAAUGGGCGAAAGCCUGGUGCAGCGGCGCCGCGUGAGGGAUGACGGCCUUCGGGUUGUAAACCUCUUUCAGCUAUGACGAAGCGCAAGUGACGGUAGUAGCAGAAGAAGGACCGGCCAACUACGUGCCAGCCGCCGCCGUAA
rnacentral:rRNA from 1 species